GAUGAAGAACGUAGCGAAAUGCGAUACUUGGUGUGAAUUGCAGAAUCCCGUGAACCAUCGAGUCUUUGAACGCAAGUUGCGCCCGAAGCCAUUUGGUUGAGGGCACGUCUGCCUGGGCGUCACAUAUCGUUGCCCGAUGCCUACUGCACUGUGAUAGGAAAUUCUAGGGCGAAAGAUGGCUUCCCGUGAGCGUUGUUGCCUCGCGGUUGGUUGAAAAUCGAGUCCUUGGUAGGGUGUGCCAUGAUAGAUGGUGGUCGAGUUUGCACGAGACCGAUCAUGUGUGCGCUCCCCAAAAUAUGGACUCUUUGACCCCACACGCGUCUUUUGACGCUCAUGACGAGACCUCAGGUCAGGCGGGGCUACCCGCUGAGUUUAAGCAUAUCAAUAAGCGGAGGA
rnacentral:misc_RNA from 1 species